GAUGAAGAACGUAGCGAAAUGCGAUACUUGGUGUGAAUUGCAGAAUCCCGUGAACCAUCGAGUCUUUGAACGAAGUUGCGCCCGAAGCCAUCAGGUUGAGGGCACGUCUGCCUGGGCGUCACAUAUCGUUGCCCAAUGCCUAUUGCAGUGCAAUAGGAAUUUCUAGGGCGAAUGAUGGCUUCCCGUGAGCGUUGUUGCCUCGCGGUUGGUUGAAAAUCGAGUCCUUGGUAGGGUGUGCCAUGGUAGAUGGUGGUCGAGUUAGAACGAUACCGAUCAUGUGCAUGCUCCCCAAAAUAUGGCCUCUAUGACCCACACGCGUCUUUUGACGCUCAUGACGAGACCUCAGGUCAGGCGGGGCUACCCGCUGAAUUUAAGCAUAUCAAUAAGCGGAGGA
rnacentral:misc_RNA from 1 species